rnacentral:rRNA from 1 species
UGGAUCCAGACUUUGAUCAUGGCUCAGGAUGAACGCUAGCGGCAGGCUUAACACAUGCAAGUCGAGGGGCAGCAUAAUGGAUAGCAAUAUCUAUGGUGGCGACCGGCGCACGGGUGCGUAACGCGUAUGCAACCUACCUUUAACAGGGGGGUAACACUGAGAAAUUGGUACUAAUACCCCAUAAUAUCAUAGAAGGCAUCUUUUAUGGUUGAAAAUUCCGAUGGUUAGAGAUGGGCAUGCGUUGUAUUAGCUAGUUGGUGGGGUAACGGCUCACCAAGGCGACGAUACAUAGGGGGACUGAGAGGUUAACCCCCCACACUGGUACUGAGACACGGACCAGACUCCUACGGGAGGCAGCAGUGAGGAAUAUUGGUCAAUGGACGCAAGUCUGAACCAGCCAUGCCGCGUGCAGGAUGACGGCUCUAUGAGUUGUAAACUGCUUUUGUACGAGGGUAAACGCAGAUACGUGUAUCUGUCUGAAAGUAUCGUACGAAUAAGGAUCGGCUAACUCCGUGCCAGCAGCCGCGGUAAUACGGAGGAUUCAAGCGUUAUCCGGAUUUAUUGGGUUUAAAGGGUGCGUAGGCGGUUUGAUAAGUUAGAGGUGAAAUUUCGGGGCUCAACCCUGAACGUGCCUCUAAUACUGUUGAGCUAGAGAGUAGUUGCGGUAGGCGGAAUGUAUGGUGUAGCGGUGAAAUGCUUAGAGAUCACACAGAACACCGAUUGCGAAGGCAGCUUACCAAACUAUAUCUGACGUUGAGGCACGAAAGCGUGGGGAGCAAACAGGAUUAGAUACCCUGGUAGUCCACGCAGUAAACGAUGAUAACUCGUUGUCGGCGAUACACAGUCGGUGACUAAGCGAAAGCGAUAAGUUAUCCACCUGGGGAGUACGUUCGCAAGAAUGCAACUCAAAGGAAUUGACGGA